GGGCCCGCACAAGCGGUGGAGCAUGUGGUUUAAUUCGAUGCAACGCGAAGAACCUUACCAGGGUUUGACAUAGUACGAAGUUUUUUGAAAAAAAACCACCUUCGGGAACGUACAUACAGGUGGUGCAUGGCUGUCGUCAGCUCGUGUCGUGAGAUGUUGGGUUAAGUCCCGCAACGAGCGUAACCCUUGUUUUUAGUUGCCUUUCGAGGAUAUUUAGAAAGACUGCCGAUUAUAAAUCGGAGGAAGGUAAGGACGACGUCAAGUCAUCAUGCCCCUUACACUCUGGGCUACACACGUGCUACAAUGGCAAGUACAACGAGUCGCAAUACCGCGAGGUGGAGCAAAUCUCUUAAAGCUUGUCUCAGUUCGGAUAGGAGUCUGCAACUCGACUCCUUGAAGUUGGAGUC
rnacentral:rRNA from 1 species